GUUUGGCGAUCUAUAACUAAAUUGGAUUAUGCAUUAAGACGCUUCAGACAAAAAAGAUUGGAAAAAAGACAUUUGUGGAGAAACAUCUGCAUCGCAGCCAAAAGAAGAGAAUUCGGAGAGCGUCGAGAGUGGUGGCAAAUAUAAGGAAGCGAUAGCUUCAGCUAGCAAGUGCUCGUGUUUUGCUUGUACUCAACCUUCCGCGUUUUCACCUUUUAAGAAUGGGCUUGGACACAGAAAUGAAAUCCGUCCUCUUGCACCGUUUUCAAAUGUUUCAAGUUUGGCUGAUUAUGUAUACCUCCCCUCAAAAGGUUCGUAUG